rnacentral:rRNA from 1 species
GACGAACGCUGGCGGCGUGCCUAAUACAUGCAAGUAGGACGCAGUUGCGAACGGGUGCGUAACGCGUAGGUACCUGCCUCUUAGAGGGGGAUAACUAUUGGAAACGCUAGCUAAUACCGCAUACUAGUAGAUGGACCUGCGUUGUAUUAGCUAGUAUGUAGUGUAAUUGCCUACCUAGGCGACGAUACAUAGCCGACCUGAGAGGGGUAUCGGCCACACGGGGACUGAGAACAGGGCCAGACUCCUACGGGAGGCAGCAGUAGGGAAUCUUCGGCAAUGGGGGGAAACCUGACCGGGCAACGCCGCGGGAGUGAAGAAGGGUUUCGGAUCGUAAAGCUCUGUUGUUAAGGAAGCGGUACUUAACCAGAAAGGGACGGCUAACUACGUGCCAGCAGCCGCGGUAAUUC